CCGUGGCGGGGUGCCUAAUACAUGCAAGUCGAGCGGACAGAUGGGAGCUUGCUCCCUGAUGUUAGCGGCGGACGGGUGAGUAACACGUGGGUAACCUGCCUGUAAGACUGGGAUAACUCCGGGAAACCGGGGCUAAUACCGGAUGGUUGUCUGAACCGCAUGGUUCAGACAUAAAAGGUGGCUUCGGCUACCACUUACAGAUGGACCCGCGGCGCAUUAGCUAGUUGGUGAGGUAACGGCUCACCAAGGCGACGAUGCGUAGCCGACCUGAGAGGGUGAUCGGCCACACUGGGACUGAGACACGGCCCAGACUCCUACGGGAGGCAGCAGUAGGGAAUCUUCCGCAAUGGACGAAAGUCUGACGGAGCAACGCCGCGUGAGUGAUGAAGGUUUUCGGAUCGUAAAGCUCUGUUGUUAGGGAAGAACAAGUGCCGUUCAAAUAGGGCGGCACCUUGACGGUACCUAACCAGAAAGCCACGGCUAACUACGUGCCAGCAGCCGCGGUAAUACGUAGGUGGCAAGCGUUGUCCGGAAUUAUUGGGCGUAAAGGGCUCGCAGGCGGUUUCUUAAGUCUGAUGUGAAAGCCCCCGGCUCAACCGGGGAGGGUCAUUGGAAACUGGGGAACUUGAGUGCAGAAGAGGAGAGUGGAAUUCCACGUGUAGCGGUGAAAUGCGUAGAGAUGUGGAGGAACACCAGUGGCGAAGGCGACUCUCUGGUCUGUAACUGACGCUGAGGAGCGAAAGCGUGGGGAGCGAACAGGAUUAGAUACCCUGGUAGUCCACGCCGUAAACGAUGAGUGCUAAGUGUUAGGGGUUUCCGCCCCUUAGUGCUGCAGCUAACGCAUUAAGCACUCCGCCUGGGGAGUACGGUCGCAAGACUGAAACUCAAAGGAAUUGACGGGGGCCCGCACAAGCGGUGGAGCAUGUGUUUAAUUUCGAAGCAACGCGAAGAACCUUACCAGGUCUUGACAUCCUCUGACAUCCUAGAGAUAGGACGUCCCCUUCGGGGGCAGAGUGACAGGUGGUGCAUGAUUGUCGUCAGCCUCCGUGUCGUGAGGAAUGUUGGGGUA
rnacentral:rRNA from 1 species